AAGUCGUAACAAGGUCUCCGUUGGUGAACCAGCGGAGGGAUCAUUACUGAGUUUUAACAACUCCAACCCUGUGUAAACUGAAGCCUGGUUGCUCUGGCAGGCGGUCCCUGGGAGGGAUCGCAGCCUCUUCGAGGCGCCUGCCGGAGGAUACCUAAACUCGAAUGUUUAAUGUUGUCUAAGUACUAAGAAAUGAGUCAAAACUUUCAACAACGGAUCUCUUGGUUCUGGC
rnacentral:misc_RNA from 1 species